rnacentral:rRNA from 1 species
GACGAACGCUGGCGGCGUGCUUAACACAUGCAAGUCGAACGGAAAGGCCCUGCUUUUGUGGGGUGCUCGAGUGGCGAACGGGUGAGUAACACGUGAGUAACCUGCCCUUGACUUUGGGAUAACUUCAGGAAACUGGGGCUAAUACCGGAUAGGAGCUCCUGCUGCAUGGUGGGGGUUGGAAAGUUUCGGCGGUUGGGGAUGGACUCGCGGCUUAUCAGCUUGUUGGUGGGGUAGUGGCUUACCAAGGCUUUGACGGGUAGCCGGCCCGAGAGGGUGACCGGCCAAAUUGGGACUGAGAUACGGCCCAGACUCCUACGGGAGGCAGCAGUGGGGAAUAUUGCACAAUGGGCGGAAGCCUGAUGAAGCAACGCCGCGUGCGGGAUGACGGCCUUCGGGUUGUAAACCGCUUUCGCCUGUGACGAAGCGUGAGUGACGGUAAUGGGUAAAGAAGCACCGGCUAACUACGU